rnacentral:rRNA from 1 species
GACGUAGGGCGCGAGCGUUGUCCGGAUUUAUUGGGCGUAAAGAGCUCGUAGGCGGCUUGUCGCGUCGAAUGUGAAAACUCGGGGCUCAACUCCGAGCUUGCAUUCGAUACGGGCAGGCUAGAGUUCGGUAGGGGAGACUGGAAUUCCUGGUGUAGCGGUGAAAUGCGCAGAUAUCAGGAGGAACACCGGUGGCGAAGGCGGGUCUCUGGGACGGUACUGACGCUGAGACGCGAAAGCGUGGGGAGCGAACAGG